AACGAACGCUGGCGGCGUGCUUAACACAUGCAAGUCGAACGGUGAAGCCCUUCGGGGUGGAUCAGUGGCGAACGGGUGAGUAACACGUGAGCAAUCUGCCCUCGACCCUGGGAUAACUUCGGGAAACCGGAGCUAAUACUGGAUAUGACGCGUCACCGCAUGGUGUGCGUGUGGAAAGUUUUUCGGUCGAGGAUGAGCUCGCGGCCUAUCAGCUUGUUGGUGGGGUAACGGCCUACCAAGGCGACGACGGGUAGCCGGCCUGAGAGGGCGACCGGCCACACUGGGACUGAGACACGGCCCAGACUCCUACGGGAGGCAGCAGUGGGGAAUAUUGCGCAAUGGGCGAAAGCCUGACGCAGCGACGCCGCGUGAGGGAUGAAGGCCUUCGGGUCGUAAACCUCUUUCAGCAGGGAAGAAGCGCAAGUGACGGUACCUGCAGAAGAAGCACCGGCUAACUACGUGCCAGCCGCCGCGGUAACAC
rnacentral:rRNA from 1 species